CUUCUCUCGCAUCUUGGCGUCUCUUCUCUCCAACUUUCAUUGCUGAUGUUCUUAGAUGUCAAACAAAGCCUGGAUUAUAACUUUAUGCCUUUAUGGUAAGUUAAGCAACCCUAUGAAUUCAAGACUACAUCAAAGAUGAAAGGAAAUUCAUGUUAUGUUCUUGUGGCUCCUUCCUUGCAGAAUUCUUUUUUUAAUAUUGGUGCACUUAUACAGGUAUGCCUAAUAAAUUUAUAUUUGUUUCUUU